UAGGGAAUCUUCGGCAAUGGGGGGAACCCUGACCGAGCAACGCCGCGUGAGUGAAGAAGGUUUUCGGAUCGUAAAGCUCUGUUGUUAAGGAAGAACGAGUGUGAGAAUGGAAAGUUCAUGCUGUGACGGUACUUAACCAGAAAGGGACGGCUAACUACGUGCCAGCAGCCGCGGUAAUACGUAGGUCCCGAGCGUUGUCCGGAUUUAUUAGGCGUAAAGCUAGCGCAGGCGGUUAGAAAAGUCUGAAGUGAAAGGCAGUGGCUCAACCAUUGUAGGCUAUGGAAACUGUUUAACUAGAGUGCAGAAGGGGAGAGAGGAAUUCCAUGUGUAGCGGUGAAAUGCGUAGAUAUAUGGAGGAACACCGGUGGCGAGAGCGGCUCUCUGGUCUGUAACUGACGCGGAGGCUCGAAAGCGUGGGUAGCAAACAGG
rnacentral:rRNA from 1 species